AAAAAAAGCUAGAAUUUAACUUCUGAAAAACACUGGAAAAAAAACAGAUGAAAUGAAUGACACCAAAAGGUUUUACAUCUUUUAGGGAGUUUGAAAAUGCACCUGUAACUCCAUCUGGACCACCCUAUACCUGAGGAACCUUCUGUUGGCUUGGGGUCAAAGAAUAAACAUAAAGACAAAAUUUCUGGCAAAGAGUAGGUGUCCAGUAAGUAAGUUUUAAAUGAACUAAAGAAAAACCACCUUUUAAGUUUAAAAAUUAAUACUUAACAUCUAAACAGACCUU